UACUCGAGUGGCGAACGGGUGAGUAACACGUGGGUGAUCUGCCCUGCACUUCGGGAUAAGCUUGGGAAACUGGGUCUAAUACCGGAUAGGAGCCAUCUUUAGUGUGGUGGUUGGAAAGUUUUUUCGGUGUAGGAUGAGCUCGCGGCCCAUCAGCUUGUUGGUGGGGUAAUGGCCUACCAAGGCGGCGACGGGUAGCCGGCCUGAGAGGGUGUACGGCCACAUUGGGACUGAGAUACGGCCCAG
rnacentral:rRNA from 1 species